rnacentral:rRNA from 1 species
UACGAAGGGGGCUAGCGUUGCUCGGAAUUACUGGGCAUAAAGCGCACGUAGGUGGUCCGCUAAGUCGCGUGUGAAAUCCCCCGGCUCAACCGGGGAAUUGCGCGCGAUACUGGCGGGCUAGAGAUCGGGAGGGGUGAGUGGAACUCCAGGUGGAGCGGUGGAAUGCGUAGAUAUCUGGAGGAACACCGGUGGCGAAAGCGACUCACUGGCCCGACACUGACACUGAGGUGCGAAAGCUAGGGUAGCAAACGGG